AGCUUUGCGCAGUGGCAGUAUGGUAGUCAGUAAGGUCAGUCUGAGGCACAAUUAUUGCUAAUUGAAAUCUUUUCUCUCUGUCUCUAUUGUACAUACACCUUCUACUGCCCUCUAUAAAUACAUCAACUCAGUUUUAUCUG
rnacentral:snRNA from 1 species